UCCGUAGGUGAACCUGCGGAAGGAUCAUUACCGAGUGAGGGCCCUCUGGGUCCAACCUCCCACCCGUGUUUAUUUUACCUUGUUGCUUCGGCGGGCCCGCCUUAACUGGCCGCCGGGGGGCUUACGCCCCCGGGCCCGCGCCCGCCGAAGACACCCUCGAACCCUGUCUGAAGAUUGUAGUCUGAGUGAAAAUAUAAAUUAUUUAAAACUUUCAACAACGGAUCUCUUGGUUCCGGCAUCGAUGAAGAACGCAGCGAAAUGCGACACGUAAUGUGAAUUGCAAAUUCAGUGAAUCAUCGAGUCUUUGAACGCACAUUGCGCCCCCUGGUAUUCCGGGGGGCAUGCCUGUCCGAGCGUCAUUGCUGCCCUCAAGCACGGCUUGUGUGUUGGGCCCCGUCCUCCGAUCCCGGGGGACGGGCCCGAAAGGCAGCGGCGGCACCGCGUCCGGUCCUCGAGCGUAUGGGGCUUUGUCACCCGCUCUGUAGGCCCGGCCGGCGCUUGCCGAUCAACCCAAAUUUUUAUCCAGGUUGACCUCGGAUCAGGUAGGGAUACCCGCUGAACUUAAGCAUAUCAAUAAGCGGAGGAA
rnacentral:rRNA from 1 species